AGCAUGUACGCGAGUCAUUGGGACAAACCUAAAGGCGAAAUGAAAGUGAAGGUCGGCCACGGACCGAGGGAGGAUGGGCCCGUCUGGACCCCGCACUCCCGGGGCGUCCCGCUCUCAUCGCGAGAAGGGGCGCACCCAGAGCGUACACGCUGGGACCCGAAAGAUGGUGAACUAUGCCUGGUCAGGACGAAGUCAGGGGAAACCCUGAUGGAGGUCCGUAGCGAUUCUGACGUGCAAAUCGAUCGUCGGAACUGGGUAUAGGGGCGAAAGACUAAUCGAACCAUCUAGUAGCUGGUUCCCUCCGAAGUUUCCCUCAGGAUAGCUGGCGCUCGCAGAGUGCGAGUCUCAUCCGGUAAAGCGAAUGAUUAGAGGCAUUGGGGUCGAAACGGCCUCAACCUAUUCUCAAACUUUAAAUGGGUGAGAUCUCCGGCUUGCUCGAACGUGAAGCCGCGAGAUUUCGGAUCAGAGUGCCAAGUGGGCCACUUUUG
rnacentral:rRNA from 1 species